CCUACGGGUGGCAGCAGUGAGGAAUAUUGGUCAAUGGGCGUAAGCCUGAACCAGCCAAGUCGCGUGAGGGAUGAAGGUUCUAUGGAUCGUAAACCUCUUUUAUAAGGGAAUAAAGUGUGGGACGUGUCCUAUUUUGUAUGUACCUUAUGAAUAAGGAUCGGCUAACUCCGUGCCAGCAGCCGCGGGAAUACGGAGGAUCCGAGCGUGUUCCGGAUUUAUUGGGUUUAAAGGGUGCGUAGGCGGCCUUUUAAGGCAGCGGUGAAAGUCUUGGGCUCAACCAUAGAAUUGCGGUUGAAACUGGGGGGAUGGAGGAUGUUUGCGGCAGGCAGAAUGCGUGGUGUAGCGGUGAAAGGCUUAGAUAUCACGCAGAACCCCGAUUGCGAAGGCAGCCUGCCAAGCCAUGACUGACGCUGAUGCACGAAAGCGUGGGGAUCAAACAGGAUUAGAUACCCUGGUAGUC
rnacentral:rRNA from 1 species